UGAGUCUGAGGACACGCCGCGUGAGUGAUGAAGGCUUUCGGGUCGUAAACUCUGAGAAGGGAAGAACAAGUGCUAGUUGAAUAAGCUGGCACCGACGGUACCUAACCAGAAAGCCACGGCUAACUACGUGCCAGCAGCCGCGGUAAUACGUAGGUGGCAAGCCCUUACCCGGAAUUAUUGGGCGUAAAGCGCGCGCAGGUGGUUUCUUAAGUCUGAUGUGAAAGCCCACGGCUCAACCGUGGAGGGUCAUUGGAAACUGGGAGACUUGAGUGCAGAAGAGGAAAGUGGAAUUCCAUGUGUAGCGGUGAAAUGCGUAGAGAUAUGGAGGAACACCAGUGGCGAAGGCGACUUUCUGGUCUGUAACUGACACUGAGGCGCGAAAGCGUGGGGAUCUUUUUUGGAUUAGAUACCCUGGUAGUCCACGCCGUAAACGAUGAGUGCUAAGUGUUAGAGGGUUUCCGCCCUUUAGUGCUGAAGUUAACGCAUUAAGCACUCCGCCUGGGGAGUACGGCCGCAAGGCUGAAACUCAAAGGAAUUGACGGGGGCCCGCACAAGCGGUGGAGCAUGUGGUUUAUUUCGAAGCAACGCGAAGAACCUUACCAGGUCUUGACAUCCUCUGAAAACCCUAGAGAUAGGGCUUCUCCUUCGGAGCAGAGUGACAGUGGUGCAUGGUGUCGUCAGCUUCGUGUCGUGAGAUGUUGGGUUAAGUCCCGCACGAAGCGCAACCUGGAUCUAGUUGCCAUCAUUAGGUGGGCACCUCUAGUGACUGCCGGUGACAAACCGGAGGAGGUGGCAUGACGUCAAUCAUCAUGCCCCUUAUGACCUUGGCCUACACCACGUGUGCCUACAA
rnacentral:rRNA from 1 species